rnacentral:rRNA from 1 species
UACGUAGGGUGCGAGCGUUAAUCGGAAUUACUGGGCGUAAAGCGUGCGCAGGCGGUUUGGUAAGACAGAUGUGAAAUCCCCGGGCUUAACCUGGGAACUGCAUUUGUGACUGCCCGGCUAGAGUGUGUCAGAGGGGGGUAGAAUUCCAUGUGUAGCAGUGAAAUGCGUAGAUAUGUGGAGGAAUACCGAUGGCGAAGGCAGCCCCCUGGGAUAACACUGACGCUCAUGCACGAAAGCGUGGGGAGCAAACAGG